ACUGUGGAGUGUACAAGAACUUGUGUGUAGAGUAUUGUUUUUAAUCGCCAAAGCAUACACAUUGAAGCAGUAA
rnacentral:sRNA from 12 species